rnacentral:tRNA from 1 species
GCCCGGGUGGCGAAAUCAGGCAUCCGCGGGGCGCUUAAACCGCCCUGGCCGAAAGGCCGUGUGGGUUCGAAUCCCACCCCGGGCA